UACGUAGGGUGCGAGCGUUGUCCGGAAUUAUUGGGCGUAAAGAGCUCGUAGGCGGUCUGUCGCGUCGGUCGUGAAAACUUGGGGCUUAACCCUGAGCUUGCGGUCGAUACGGGCAUGACUGGAGUUCGGCAGGGGAGACUGGAAUUCCUGGUGUAGCGGUGAAAUGCGCAGAUAUCAGGAGGAACACCGGUGGCGAAGGCGGGUCUCUGGGCCGGUACUGACACUGAGGAGCGAAAGCGUGGGUAGCAAACAGG
rnacentral:rRNA from 1 species